CGCCGCACCUGCCCGCCACUUCCGCGACGGUCCCUGAGCCUUCGAGAGGGUGCUUGGGGUUGCCCGGCUCUAGCAGCAGUGCCUCGGCGUCAGAAGACAGGCCUUUUCCCUGAUCCAGGAGAGAAUCAACUCUGGUCUUUAGAUAAUAACCUACCUCUUUCAAGCAAUUGCCAAUCAGAAAAUAUUUAAAUCUACCUAUGAGCUGGAAGUCCCUAUUUCAAGUUGUUCCACCUUUCCGGAUCGGAUGUCUUACCUGUAUUGAUCGAUGUCUCAUGUCUCCCUAAAAUUUAUGAAAUCAAGUUGUGGCCCAGCCACCUUGGGCACAUGUUCUCAGGGUCU